UGGGGAAUAUUGCGCAAUGGGGGAAACCCUGACGCAGCAACGCCGCGUGAAUGAUGAAGGCCUUCGGGUUGUAAAGUUCUGUCUUCUGGGACGAUAAUGACGGUACCAGAGGAGGAAGCCACGGCUAACUACGUGCCAGCAGCCGCGGUAAUACGUAGGUGGCAAGCGUUGUCCGGAUUUACUGGGCGUAAAGGAUGCGUAGGCGGACAUUUAAGUCAGAUGUGAAAUCCCCGGGCUCAACCCGGGAACUGCAUUCCAUACUGGAUAUCUAGAGUGCAGGAGAGGAAAGCGGAAUUCCUAGUGUAGCGGUGAAAUGCGUAGAUAUUAGGAGGAACACCAGUGGCGAAGGCGGCUUUCUGGACUGUAACUGACACUGAGGCAUGAAAGCGUGGGUAGCAAACAGG
rnacentral:rRNA from 1 species